rnacentral:rRNA from 1 species
ACGCCAACAGUUGCCAGCAUGUCCUCCGGGAUGAUGGGGACACUGUUGGGACCGCCGUCUGCUAAGAGGAGGAAGGAAUGGGCAACCGGUAGGUCAGUAUGCCCCGAAUAUCCCGGGCUACACGCGAGCUACAAUGGUUGGUACAAUGGGUAUCUACCCCCGAAAAGGGGACGGGAAUCUCCUAAAACCAAUCUUAGUUCGGAUUGAGGGCUGCAACUCGCCCUCAUGAAGCUGGAAUCCGUAGUAAUCGCGUUUCAACAGAACGCGGUGAAUACGUCCCUGCUCCUU